UUAAUUGAAGAGUUUGAUCAUGGCUCAGAUUGAACGCUGGCGGCAGGCUUAACACAUGCAAGUCGAGCGGUAGCACAAGGGAGCUUGCUCCCUGGGUGACGAGCGGCGGACGGGUGAGUAAUGUCUGGGAAACUGCCUGAUGGAGGGGGAUAACUACUGGAAACGGUAGCUAAUAC
rnacentral:rRNA from 1 species